UACGUAGGGGGCAAGCGUUGUCCGGAAUCAUUGGGCGUAAAGAGCGUGUAGGCGGCCCGGUAAGUCCGCUGUGAAAGUCCAGGGCUCAACCCUGGGAUGCCGGUGGAUACUGUCGGGCUCGAGUCCGGAAGAGGAGUGUGGAAUUCCUGGUGUAGCGGUGAAAUGCGCAGAUAUCAGGAAGAACACCCGUGGCGAAGGCGGUUCUCUAGUACGGUACUGACGCUGAGACGCGAAAGCGUGGGGAGCGAACAGG
rnacentral:rRNA from 1 species